rnacentral:rRNA from 1 species
GAUGAACGCUGGCGGCGUGCUUAACACAUGCAAGUCGAACGGAAAGGCCCAAGCUUGCUUGGGUGCUCGAGUGGCGAACGGGUGAGUAACACGUGGGUGAUCUGCCCUGCACUUUGGGAUAAGCCUGGGAAACUGGGUCUAAUACCGGAUAGGACCAUCGUUUAGUGUCGGUGGUGGAAAGUUUUUCGGUGUGGGAUGAGCUCGCGGCCUAUCAGCUUGUUGGUGGGGUAAUGGCCUACCAAGGCGUCGACGGGUAGCCGGCCUGAGAGGGUGUACGGCCACAUUGGGACUGAGAUACGGCCCAGACUCCUACGGGAGGCAGCAGUGGGGAAUAUUGCACAAUGGGCGCAAGCCUGAUGCAGCGACGCCGCGUGGGGGAUGACGGCCUUCGGGUUGUAAACUCCUUUCGCCAAGGACGAAGCGUUUUGUGACGGUACUUGGAGAAGAAGCACCGGCUAACUACGUG